rnacentral:lncRNA from 1 species
ACACCAUGUUGACCAAUGACCUAUAUGUCAUCCAUGAACACCAUAAGCAAAUACACCAUGUUGACUAAUGACCCAUAUGUUAUCAAUGGACACCAUAAGCAACUACACCAUGUUGACCAAUGACCCAUAUGUCAUCCAUGGACAUCAUAAGCAACUACACCUUGUUGACCAAUUACCCAUAUGUCAUCCAUGGACACCAUAAGCAACUGCCAUGUUGACCCAUAUUUCAUCCACGGACAACAUGAGCAACUACACACCAUGUUGACCAAUGACCCAUAUGUCAUCCUUGGAGACCACAAGCAAAUACACCAUGUUGACCAAUGACCCAUAUGUCAUCAAUGGACACAACAAGCAACUAAACCAUGUUGACCAAUGAACCAUAUGUCAUCCAUGGACACCAUAAGCAAAUACACCUUGUUGCCCAGUGACCCAUAUGUCAUCAAUGGACACCAUAAGCAACUACACCAUGUUGACCAAUGACCCAUAUGUCAUCCAUGGACAUCAUAAGCAACUACACCUUGUUGACCAAUGACCCAUAUGUCAACCAUGGACACCAUAAGCAACUACCACGUUGACCAAUAACCUAAAUAUCAUCCAUGGACAUCAUAAGUAACUACACCAUGUUAACCAAUAACCCUUAUGUCAUCCAUGGACACAGUAAGCAACUACCUUGUUGACCAAUUACCCAUAUGUCAUCCAUGGACACAAAAACCAAUUACACCAAGUUUACUAAUUACCCAUAUGUCAGACACCAUAAGCAACUACAUGUUGACCAAUGACCUAUAUGUCAUCAAUGGACACCAUAAUCAACUACACCAUGUUGACCAAUGACCCAUAUGUCAUUCAUGGACACCAUAAGAAACUACACCAUGUUGACCGAUGACCCAUAUGUUAUCCAUGGACACCAUAAGCAACUACACCUUGUUGACCAAUGACCCAUAUGUCAUUCAUGGACACC